UCUCCGUAGGACGAAUAUUGACCCGUGUCAUCUCAAUUAUAUUGACUUACUAAUCUUUUGUUUCUAUCAACGUAUUAUCUACUUCUUUUUUUAACACAAAAGAUUUCAUUGCUUUGGUUUGGGUAAACCGGGUUUGGUACAAAUUGGCUUAAAGCUUGUUUAGCCAGAUUAUCCUCAACACAAAGUGUUCUCACUGACUAAACCAAAAGGACACAGAGACAAAAGAUAGAGAUAGAUGGCGAAUAUCAGAUCAGAGAAGAUCCCGUGAAUUUCAGAGAAGCUUGAGUCAUCUACGAUCGCUGACACCAAUAGCAUAGAAUCUGAUUUGAAAACCACUAUCCUCAGCUUCAGAGCAAUCACAUGCACCAUCUCCGCGCUUAUUGCUAGUCCCUCCGCCACAAGAGACGAGAUCAUAAACGUGAUAGUUUCACUGUGAGAGUUGAAUCUCUCACCAGAAGUAUCAUAGAAGCUCCACGCCAGUCCACUAGCAUUAAUCUCCUUCUUCCAAGCCGCAUCAGAUCUGCAGAUUCUGUCGCCGUUGUUUACGGAAAAGCAAGCGCAUCGACGAUUCGGAAGGGGAGGCGUAGACCUGCUACUUAUUGAAGAACUAUUGUCAAUCCACAUCUGCUGUCUCAGAGCAUUGAGAAUCCGAUCUAAGCUGCUGUACAGUUAGUUUAAUACCAAUUAUGGAAGUGAACUCGGGAAGAUUAAGCUUGACAAGACGUUUGAGGAACGAGAUUUGCUUAAUGAUAAGACUGUGGUUUGUUUUCUAUGCUUCUGGUUAUAGUUUUUAUUUUUCGCCUUAACUUGAGCUUAGUUUGGAAUGAAAAAUUAGGGUUCUAUGAUGCCAUGCUCUUGUGUUACAAAAUAAAUGUUACAAAAUAAAAGAAGCUUUUUGGUUCUUUUAAUCAUUGCUGGGUCUGAGUUUGAGUUUAGCGUUUAUUGGAUAAGAGUUUGUUGUGCAGUUUAUGUAUUGAAUAUUACAAAAGAGUGUGAUUAUUUUGAGAAAGAAUCAUUCUUGCAGGAAAGGCAUGGGGUCUUCAGUGACUUCUUUAUGAGAUUAUUGAAUCAUUUUCUGUUUGACUCUUUCGCUAUAUUCCCUUGCUUGCCUAUUGAGUACAAUAACUGUUGUGUAGCUAGGGGAUAUCAUAGCUCCUAAUGGAGUGAGGGUUGCUAUGGAAUGAAAGUGGAAGCUAAACGAAAAGAGAGCCCAUGCAAGAUUCUUGAGUCUAAAGGUUGUUUCUCAGGUUGUGUAUUUCGAGGAUGAGCGUGAUGCUGAAGAUGCAAUCCAUUGGAUUGACAAUAUUAUCCCUUUUGGCUAUGAGAAACGCAAGCUAUCUGUCAGAAUGGGCUAAGGGUGAACGUGGGAUUGGGAAGCCUCGUAAUGGAAAGAGAGCCUCGAAUCAGAGGCCUACAAAGACACUCUUUGUCAUCAACUUUGACCCGAUCCUCACAAAAGAGGGUGACACAUUGAUGUAUGCACUUUGAGCCGUAUGGUAAAGUACGCAUAAGGCGCAAUUUUACAUUCGUUCAGUUUGCAACUCAGGAAGAUGCAACCAAGGCCCUUGAAUCUACACCAAAACAGCCGGUCUCUCCUGUUCAGAGAGGAAGGGGUUGAAGAUGUUGUUCCUCAAUGUGUCUCCUAGUGGUUGCUAGUCUGAAAUUAAAAAGUGUUUUCAC